UACGUAGGGUGCAAGCGUUGUCCGGAAUUAUUGGGCGUAAAGAGCUCGUAGGCGGUUCGUCGCGUCGGCUGUGAAAUCCCGAGGCUCAACCUCGGGUCUGCAGUCGAUACGGGCGGACUGGAGUUCGGCAGGGGAGACUGGAAUUCCUGGUGUAGCGGUGAAAUGCGCAGAUAUCAGGAGGAAUACCGAUGGCGAAGGCAGGUCUCUGGGCUGACACUGACGCUCAUGCACGAAAGCGUGGGGAGCAAACAGG
rnacentral:rRNA from 1 species